rnacentral:tRNA from 1 species
GUUUCUGUAGUUGAAUUACAACGGUGGUUUUUCAUAUCAUUGGUCUGGGUUAAACUCCCGGGGGAAACC